CAGUAGCCACGGUAAUACGAAGGGGGCUAGCGUUGUUCGGAAUUACUGGGCGUAAAGCGCACGUAGGCGGAUAUUUAAGUCAGGGGUGAAAUCCCGCAGCUCAACUGCGGAACUGCCUUUGAUACUGGGUAUCUUGAGUAUGGAAGAGGUUAGUGGAAUUGCGAGUGUAGAGGUGAAAUUCGUAGAUAUUCGCAGGAGCACCAGUGGCGAAGGCGGCUAACUGGUCCAUAACUGACGCUGAGGUGCGAAAGCGUGGGGAGCAAACAGGAUUAGAUACCCGGGUAGUCCCUGUCUCUUAUAC
rnacentral:rRNA from 1 species